rnacentral:rRNA from 1 species
CCUACGGGCGGCAGCAGUGGGGAAUAUUGGACAAUGGGCGAAAGCCUGAUCCAGCCAUGCCGCGUGUGUGAAGAAGGCCUUCGGGUUGUAAAGCACUUUCAGUGGGGAAGAAAGCCUUGGGGCUAAUACCCUCGAGGAAGGACAUCACCCACAGAAGAAGCACCGGCUAACUCCGUGCCAGCAGCCGCGGUAAUACGGAGGGUGCGAGCGUUAAUCGGAAUUACUGGGCGUAAAGCGCGCGUAGGCGGUCUGAUAAGCCGGUUGUGAAAGCCCCGGGCUCAACCUGGGAACGGCAUUCGGAACUGUCAGGCUAGAGUGCAGGAGAGGAAGGUAGAAUUCCCGGUGUAGCGGUGAAAUGCGUAGAGAUCGGGAGGAAUACCAGUGGCGAAGGCGGCCUUCUGGACUGACACUGACGCUGAGGUGCGAAAGCGUGGGUAGCAAACAGGAUUAGAUACCCCAGUAGUC